GGCAACCCUGACGGAGCAACGCCGCGUGGGGGAGGAAUGUCUGUGGAUUGUAAACCCCUUUUAUCUGGGAAGAACAAAAUGACGGUACCAGAUGAAUAAGCCUCGGCUAACUCCGUGCCAGCAGCCGCGGUAAUACGGAGGAGGCAAGCGUUAUCCGGAAUUAUUGGGCGUAAAGCGUCCGCAGGUGGCGAUUCAAGUCUGCUGUCAAAGCACGGGGCUUAACUCCGUAAAGGCAGUGGAAACUGAAUAGCUAGAGUGCCGUAGGGGUAGAGGGAAUUCCCGGUGUAGCGGUGAAAUGCGUAGAGAUCGGGAAGAACAUCGGUGGCGAAAGCGCUCUACUGGACGGCAACUGACACUCAGGGACGAAAGCUAGGGGAGCG
rnacentral:rRNA from 1 species